ensembl:lncRNA
GUAGUGUUGUCUUAGGUCUCUCUUUAUGUAGUGUUGUGGUGUCUUUAUGUAGUAUUGUGGUGUCUUAGGUCUCUCUUUAUGUAGUGCUGUGUUGUCUUUGUGUUGUGGUGUCUUAGGUCUCUCUUUAUGUAGUGUUGUGUUGUCUUUAUGUAGUGUUGUGGUGUCUUAGGUCUCUCUUUAUGUAGUGUUGUGGUGUCUUAGGUCUCUCUUUAUGUAGUGUUGUCUUAGGUCUCUCUUUAUGUAGUGUUGUCUUAGGUCUCUCUUUAUGUAGUGUUGUGGUGUCUCUCUUUAUGUAGUGUUGUGCUGUCUUAGGUCUCUCUUUAUGUAGUGUUGUGGUGUCUUAGGUCUCUCUUUAUGUAGUGUUGUCUUAGGUCUCUCUUUAUGUAGUGUUGUGUUGUCUUAGGUCUCUCUUUAUGUAGUGGUGUCUUAGGUCUCUCUUUAUGUAGUGUUGUGGUGUCUUAGUAGGUCUCUCUUUAUGUAGUGUUGUGUUGUCUCUCUUGUCCUGAAAUGUGUUUUGUCCUAUAUUUGUAUUUUCAAUCCCAGACCCCCCCCGUCCCC